CACAGAAUUGGGGGGGGGAGAAGAGGCCCCCACCUGACUGCACUGAAAGAGCUCCCAUCCCAGAUCACAAGGGAGCAAAAUUCAGGGCUGCAACUUGCUUGGCCUUUGUUUGAAACAGCAACGCAAAUUACUGCCCAGUGGUUGCUGGAGGCCAGCCUGAUGGCUGUCAAACUCCCACUCGUCAGAACGGCCAGAGCCCAGGGAGCCCGAGGGUGCCCCCAAAUGCCAGGUUUCACAAAGUCCAUUUUAGAGCCAGGCUGCAGGAGGACAGCUCGGCCAAAGUCAUCCCAAAGAAGUUCUUCUUAUCCAAUUGGCAGCUCUUUGUGAAGACCAGCCGCUCUGCAGCUCCUGAAGGCACCUUGCAAGACUUGCUGCAGGGGUUUGUCUGCAUUCAGGCCUGUAGGUGGCCCCCUCCGGACUCAUAGCGGCCAUCAGAGGUCCAGGGUCACAACUACAGGCUAGAAUUUCAGUAGAAUGAGCGAGCUUCCCCUUCCGCCAAGUGUCCCUCACCUCAAGAAUGUUGGCUAAAACAGGCGGAAAUAAUUUGCUUUUAAGCAAACACGGGACUCGGGCGGUAUUGCUGAGCUACAGGGGCCCUGUGAAUCAUCUUAUUAAGUGGGGAUGAAAACAAGAGGUUCUUCUUGGAAAGUAGCCCCUCCCAGAUAGGUGCCAGCAGCCGCCUCUGCCACAUGGAGACCCACAGAAGCCAACGCCUGCACUGUAGCCUUUGCUUUCCCAGUGAUGGCAGAUGGCCAAGCGGCCAGUCCUCAUAGUGGGGCCGACCAGAAGAUCAAACGGCCCAGAGGCCACCUGGAGAAGUGGAGCCGCCUUACCUGUCGCAGGACGCCCCGAGGGCCGCGUAGCCCAUCAGCCAUCCCAGGAGUUUAUCCAGGGAGAGCAGCAGUGUGUCAGCGCAACUCGCCAAGCAACGAAGGAAGUCACGGUUUCGAAGCAGCCAGGCUAACAGGCUGCACAAAUGUCUACGUGGUCUUUCACGGACCCUCUGAAAAGUGGAUUGCGUGACCCCCAGAUCACAAUCUUGUCUGAUAAUAGCCAACAUCCGCCUCGCUUCGCAAGAUCUGGAGCUGGCCUACGGUGGAAGAUGCAUUAAACCUUGGAGGUAUGUCUGUCUUUGCUCUUUCAGCCUCCUCUCUGUCGAAAGGCUGCUGCAGGAAAAGUCUGCUCGGGAAUGUCCAAGGCCCACAGGGUGAAACGAGACGGAGGAGGAGAGCCCCUUCGGAAAGGCCUUGAGAAGCAGCGGAGAAUCAAAAACCCCAUAGCACACUUGUUCUUUUUUUAAAAAAAAAUUUAUUUAUGAACAUUAUCUCUUGAAGGACAACAGCAUCUCUGCACUUCUCUCUGUACAUGCAACUGUAGAAAAUAACACCUGUAUUUACUUCACCUCUUUCUGCAGGAAGUUGUACAGCUAAAGGGCAGUUUUAUGGUGCCCUCGGCAGCACCAGCACUGACAAACUAUAUGUACACCAACUACAUUGGUAAAAAAUAAAAAAUAAAAAAAUACAUGAUUACAUUACAAACAAUGCACCCUGCUGCUGUUUAACUCCACAUUCUAUGCAAGUUGCACGAGUACAAAUAAAAGGAUGUGUGGAUUGA